CCGUCGGUGUCAGACGUCACUUCUCCACUGACUGCAUCUUAAUAAAGCUUAGCUCACCAUUAAGUUUUCUCUCAGACAUUUUAUUUCACUGUCUGAAGUCAGAUAACAGGGAUUUAUAGAUUUGUUUGCAGGUCAUAAAAACCAUCUGUUAGCCAGACAGCAGAAGCAGUUUUAUGACUGUUUAGUCAUCCAAGUAAAUCAACAUGAAUGCAGGAAGGAAAAAACAUCUGGACUGCUCAGCAGCAUUUAGCAGAAUUUCUUAAGUUUGGGAGUUUCUUUGCUGUUAGAGGUUUAAAUAUGCUAAAUAAUGUCAGCUGUGGUAUUUUGAAGCAAAAUGCUGCACUUUGUUUGGGGACACAAAAGAUUAAUGAUUCCUAAAAAAAAA